rnacentral:rRNA from 1 species
AGUCUAGCAUGUGCGCGAGUCAUUGGGACUCAAUAAACCUAAAGGCACAAUGAAAGUGAAAGUCUGUUUACGCGGACUUAGGGAAGAUAGGUGCGUACACAUUGUGUAAAACCUCGCACUCCCGGGGCGUCUCGCACUCAUUGCGAGGUGGGGCGCACCAAGAGCGUACACGCUGGGACCCGAAAGAUGGUGAACUAUGCCUGGUCAGGACGAAGUCAGGGGAAACCCUGAUGGAGGUCCGUAGCGAUUCUGACGUGCAAAUCGAUCGUCGGAACUGGGCUUAGGGGCGAAAGACUAAUCGAACCAUCUAGUAGCUGGUUCCCACCGAAGUUUCCCUCAGGAUAGCUGGCAUUAGAUUAUGGAUGAGUCUCAUCCGGUAAAGCGAAUGAUUAGAGGCAUUGGGGUCGAAACGGCCUCAACCUAUUCUCAAACUUUAAAUGGGUGAGAUCUCCGGCUUGCUCGAUUUAUGAAGCCGGAGAUCGGAUCAAUUAGUGCCAAGUGGGCCACUUUUGGUAAGCAGAACUGGCGCUGUGGGAUGAACCAAACGCAGAGUUAAAGCGCCAAAAUCGACGCUUAUGGGAUACCAUGAAAGGCGUUGGUAACUUAAGACAGCAGGACGGUGGCCAUGGAAGUCGGA